rnacentral:lncRNA from 1 species
GCCCCGAGGGGCAGCGUGCUUCGCACCCGGGGUACUCACCGCCGCGGACACCUCGCCGGGCUCCUCGCUGAGCAGCAGCGCGGCCAGCAGCAGCCCAACGACCCGCCACAGCUUCAUCCUCCCGCUCCCACCGAAAGCCAACAGAGGGGCUCGCCUGCCCAGCUCCGCGCGCGUCUCGCCUCCGCCCCGGCUGCAGCGCCUCUAGAGCCGAGCGGCGCGGGCUGCCCAGGUCCCCGCUCUGUGGGCGGCUGCCCCCUCCCCUCGCGGGGGGGUGGAGACCCUGCGAGCGAAGGGGGCCGUCUGGCGCCUCUCAUCCACCUCCGCUCCGGCCAGUGCGGCUCCUGCCUCCCUCGCCCCACGGCAGCCACUCGACUUCUCGCCGCGGGCGGGGAGGACUCCAGCCCCUGGCCUCGUUGCAAAGCGGGACGCGCCGCGCCUGAGCCGAACGAGCUCUGGACUCCAGGGGGGCUUCUGGGACAGCAGAGCGUCGCUGCCGGGAGCACCGCAGGGAUGAGAGGCGGGCGGUUUCUCGUCUCACGCUGGCAGCUUUGGCGGGUCCUGUUGCUCUUGGUGGUGACCUCGCUGCUAACUGGUAGAGUAAAAGCUGGUGGAAAAUCUUACACAGGACCAUGCGGAGGAAGAGACUGUAGUAGAGGAUGUGAAUGUUUCCCUGAAAAAGGAGGCCGUGUAAGUGCCAAUGUCUUCCUCUCUGAACAGUUAUAUAUUAUACUCUAGAGGUCAGAUCCAAAAUU